rnacentral:lncRNA from 1 species
GUUUCUUGCUCUUGACUCGUGACUUAAAAGACAAGAUAUUCUUGCGAGCCGACUUAAGUUCAACUUUAGAAGAUUGAAGGUCGGCGGUCCAACGAGAAACUUCUUCCUAAAGCUUCGCCUCCUGCUUAACCACCACCCGAACUUGCUCAAGGGCAGCCAUCUUUUCAGCAUUGGCGGCCGCCAUCUUGUCCAUCCAUGUCCGACGAAAAUCCGCAACCUUCCGAUAGCCGACCUCCAAAUCAAUCAUGUCAUGUGCUAGCUGAAAGCAGAAGAUAAAUCAGAUAAGAUCAAAAAAAAGAAAAGAAAAGUAUGAAGGAAAACUUACGCUGAGCAUCAUCGGGUAAAAAGAGGUAAACAUCUCUACGAUAGUCUGGUUCUUCCUAUUCCCUUGAUCAGUCGAGAGAAGGGUAGCUUUGAUGAGCUUCCUGGUCAAUGCUGGAUUGACCAAGGCCGACUCACCCUCAGCUAUCCAGAUAUCGAAGAGUGUAGAAAGGCCUACAGAUGAUUCAUCGUCUGUCGAAGUUACCGGCACCUUCCCCCGAUCUCCUGUCGGCAGCCCCACGUUUGAGAAUAUAAGGAAGCUGGAGCUUGACUGUGCUCAAGAGAGUCCCGCUAGAGGAACAUUCGGCACAGCCACUGAUUGGUCUGGCUCGACCGUGACUUCUGCCUCGGGCCGAGCCUCUGUUGAUGGAGCUGCCGAUGGUGCUAUGGUAGCCCCGUCUUCUCUUGUUGUCCCAUCUUCGACAGAUGGC